rnacentral:rRNA from 1 species
GAUAUUGGGCGUAAGGGCUCGCAGGCGGUUUCUUAAGUCUGAUGUGAAAGCCCCCGGCUCAACCGGGGAGGGUCAUUGGAAACUGGGAAACUUGAGUGCAGAAGAGGAGAGUGGAAUUCCACGUGUAGCGGUGAAAUGCGUAGAGAUGUGGAGGAACACCAGUGGCGAAGGCGACUCUCUGGUCUGUAACUGACGCUGAGGAGCGAAAGCGUGGGGAGCGAACAGGAUUAGAUACCCUGGUAGUCCACGCCGUAAACGAUGAGUGCUAAGUGUUAGGGGGUUUCCGCCCCUUAGUGCUGCAGCUAACGCAUUAAGCACUCCGCCUGGGGAGUACGGUCGCAAGACUGAAACUCAAAGGAAUUGACGGGGGCCCGCACAAGCGGUGGAGCAUGUGGUUUAAUUCGAAGCAACGCGAAGAACCUUACCAGGUCUUGACAUCCUCUGACAACCCUAGAGAUAGGGCUUUCCCUUCGGGGACAGAGUGACAGGUGGUGCAUGGUUGUCGUCAGCUCGUGUCGUGAGAUGUUGGGUUAAGUCCCGCAACGAGCGCAACCCUUGAUCUUAGUUGCCAGCAUUCAGUUGGGCACUCUAAGGUGACUGCCGGUGACAAACCGGAGGAAGGUGGGGAUGACGUCAAAUCAUCAUGCCCCUUAUGACCUGGGCUACACACGUGCUACAAUGGACAGAACAAAGGGCUGCAAGACCGCAAGGUUUAGCCAAUCCCAUAAAUCUGUUCUCAGUU